ACCCGGGUGGUGGAAUUGGUAGACACAGGGGAUUUAAAAUCCCUUAGCCUUGGGCUGUACGAGUUCAAAUCUCGUCUCGGGUAUCA
rnacentral:tRNA from 1 species